rnacentral:tRNA from 1 species
GACUGAAUAGCUCAGUGGUAGAGUGUUUGCCUGACAUGCACAAGGCCCUAGUUUCGAUCCCUGGUGCUGCA